AACAAACGCUGGCGGCGUGUCUUAAGCAUGCAAGUUGAGCGGCAAGGAGAGAGAUCCUCCCUAGAGCAGCGGACUGGUUGAGUAACGCGUGGGUAAUCUAUCUUAGGCAUGGGGAUAGUCACUAGAAAUAGUGGGUAAUACCGAAUAAGUUCCAUAAGGGGAGGACUUAUGGAAGAAAGGUGCUACGGCACUGGCCUUAGGUGAGCUCGCGUCCCAUUAGCUAGUUGGUGAGGUAAAGGCCCACCAAGGCGAUGAUGGGUAGCCGGCCUGAGAGGGUGUACGGCCACACUGGGACUGAGAUACGGCCCAGACUCCUACGGGAGGCAGCAGCUAAGAAUAUUCCGCAAUGGACGGAAGUCUGACGGAGCGACGCCGCGUGGAUGAAGAAGGCCGAAAGGUUGUAAAGUUCUUUUGCUAGGGGAGAAUAAGUGUGGGAGGGAAUGCCUGCACGAUGACAAGGACUAGCGAAUAAGUCCCGGCCAACUACGUG
rnacentral:rRNA from 1 species